rnacentral:rRNA from 1 species
UACAGAGGGUGCAAGCGUUGUUCGGAAUUAUUGGGCGUAAAGCGCGUGUAGGCGGCUUUGCAAGUCGGGUGUGAAAGCCCUCAGCUCAACUGAGGAAGUGCGCCCGAAACUGCAGAGCUUGAGUGCCGGAGAGGGUGGCGGAAUUCCAGGUGUAGCGGUGAAAUGCGUAGAUAUCUGGAGGAACACCGGUGGCGAAGGCGGCAUCCUGGACCGACACUGACGCUGAGGAGCGAAAGCCAGGGGAGCAAACGGG